rnacentral:rRNA from 1 species
AGGGUGUAAACGCUGCGGGCUUGGUGUUGGGGGUCCUUUGAGGGCGCCCAGUGCCGGAGAGAAGUUGUUAAGCCUGCUGCUUGGGGAGUACGUCCGCAAGGAUGAAACUUAAAGGAAUUGGCGGGGGAGCACCACAACGGGUGGAGCCUGCGGUUUAAUUGGACUCAACGCCGGGAAGCUCACCGGAUAAGACAGCGGAAUGAUUGCCGGGCUGAAGACCCUGCAUGACCAGCUGAGAGGAGGUGCAUGGCGUAG